rnacentral:lncRNA from 1 species
CCACCCCCCCCGCUCCCCGUUGGUUAUCCACAUCUUCUGGCCAUUGAUAACAUAUUCGUAACCCUUCUUCUCGGCUUUGGUCUUAAUGCCCGCCACAUCAGAGCCUGCGGAGGGCUCUGUCACACAGUAGGCACACAUCAUCGCUGCCCCGUCAUCCUCCCCAAAUACUUCUUUUUUUGUUGAUCAUUUGCCCCAAAGAAUUUGCUUCAAUACAGUUUGCACCCCUGUACACCCAUACGCCAACUCUUCGGUAAUUAAACAAGCAUCGAGCGUUCCCAGGCCAAGACCACCGCAACUUUCUGGAAUGUGUGCUCUGAUCAAGCCAAGUUUGAUGAGAGUGAAUGGGUACUCCCCACUUUUGUCAUAUUCCGGGGCGACAGGGAUAAUCUCCUCUCUGGUAAACUUCUGGGCAGUUGCUUGAAACUCUUUCUGCUGUUCCGUCAACUCAAAACUAAACCCUAAUCCGGGCUCCUGCUUGAGAGACGCUUUUGUGUGUUGUGUUCGACACUCAAAAUGGGAAACACUUCUCAGGACCCUGCAGCUUCUGCGAACGCCGCUGCCAUGAUGGCUCCUCGAUCUGCUGCCUCCGACCACCUCUGGGAAGCAAGCCGGCUACUGUAAUUUUUAUCAAGGUUUGCAGAGGUCCACCUAAUGUUUGGCUGUGGGUCUCAUCAGCUGCAUUCAUCAGUUGCUCAAUGAAGACUCUAUGAUGACAACUGGGAUAUGCAACCAAUCUAUGAAUCUCUGAGCAAUCCUCCUUCUGGGACCUGGCCAUCAAGUCAGUUUUAAGUCAGAUCAAGAAGAACUCUCAGUUCCUUCUACAGCACCAUGCCUGAUUGAAUGAUCCCUUGCUUCCCACCAUGAAGAUAAUGGACUGAACUUCUGAGCCAG